CUGGGUGUAGCUCAACCGGAUAAGAGCACGCGCUUUGGAAGCGCGAGGUUACUGGUUCAAAUCCAGUCAUCCAGACCA
rnacentral:tRNA from 1 species